AGAGCUUCUGUGGUAAAGAAAAAUAUAAAAAUUGUUUAGGAACUGUAAUAUAAUUUAAAAAAAAUUCCUCUCUGCCUUUGUAAUAUACAGUAUGCUGGAAGACUUUCUUGACAUCAUACAGAACGGGUUCAGAAUACAACAGAAGCAGGAAACAUCAAAAAUCACUGUUAACCGUAGAGCAUCGGUUUACAAUUCUUGCAAAAAUCAAGUUAUGAUUUAUGUGUAUGUUGUUAUAAAAACAAUCAAACAGACAUAAAUGUAAUCUGUUAAAUUCAGUCUAUUUUGCAUUCAAACAUUGCUUUAAAUAAAGAGACAGGUGAUUUGAGCAGAGCUCGUUUUCUGCCUCCACUAUUUGGAAAGUCUAAUACGAAAAUACUUAUAUAUAUAUAUAUAUAUAUAUAUACUAUUUUAUAUUAAACAAAAAAACUGCUGCAAUGAAAAUCUCCUUUUGAUUUAUUGUGCCUUAAUUUACUAUUAAUUUCAUUCAUAAUUAUUCACUUACUGAACGCUAUUAUAAAAGUAUAUACGUUUGUUUAUGUUAAAUAAAAGAUAAACAUGAGAAAAGAGUCGUAUCUUCCCUUAAAAUGCAUCUUGAACAAUCGGGUCCCAAGGUCCCACCUAGCGAGGACCCCUAAGAUGGCGGCCAUCGCGAUGCCUGUGCGCAAGUCGGAACUUGUCACGAAGGACACAAGACAGAAGCCCUGUCCCGAGACGCUCUUGAGUUACGUUGAGACUGAUGAUUCCCCAAUCUUCCACAAUGGACUUCACAUAGGAUGAACUGUUUCUAGUUUCAGCAAAAAAGCAAGAAUUUAUGAAUGGAUGACUGCACCUUAGCACUCUUCACUCCCACUGCAUGCCUCACCUGGGCCACAGAGAAAACAAUGUUGCUCCCUGUACAUGGCACAUUUAACCUCUAACCUUACAGCUGAAUCAAUGCAGUAACACUGUUAACUACCAAUGAUAUUGUACCUAAUGUUCAGACUGAAUAUACAGAGGAGAACUGGUCCCCAGUGUUUUUGGUUAGUCUGGUUUCUCCAAAGGUUUUUUUUACUCCAGUAUCGACAUCUUACAGUUUUUUCUUAAUUAACCACCAUUGCCUUUGGCUUGCUUGCUGUAUGUAUGACGACUAAUGCAUUUAACACCAACUAUUAAAACAGUGAGGGUGUUUUUGACCACAUAGACACAACAGUAUGUCUUUCUGUAAAGAUUCUUUGAAAAUGUUAUGCAUUUUGAAAAAUGUAUAAAUGUCUUACAUUGAUA